rnacentral:rRNA from 1 species
CAGUCGCCGCGGGAAUACGGAGGGGGCUAGCGUUGUUCGGAAUUACUGGGCGUAAAGCGCACGUAGGCGGCUUUGUAAGUUAGAGGUGAAAGCCCGGGGCUCAACCCCGGAAUUGCCUUUAAGACUGCAGAGCUAGCAGGUGAGAGAGGUGAGUGGAAUUCCGAGUGUAGAGGUGAAAUUCGUAGAUAUUCGGAAGAACACCAGUGGCGAAGGCGACUGACUGGACAAGUAUUGACGCUGAGGUGCGAAAGCGUGGGGAGCAAACAGGAUUAGAUACCCCCGUAGUCCCUGUCUCUUAUAC